ACAGAGGAAUAUUCCAGAGAAGAUACCAGGAAUCAGAUCCAGACUGUGAAGACAUGAAAAGAUAAUAGUUGGAAACCUCAGCAAUUUUCAAUUCAAGGAAUCUAUCUAAGACAAAUAGAAUACUUUACAUUUUGUAAAAGAUGUUUAUGCAUCAAAAAAUAUAAUUUUCUGCUUGCAUUUAUGGACUCUGACCUUUUUAAGAACAUAGGACUUCAGCUCUGGAGCUGGAAGUCUGAGAUCAGAUUACCAGCAUGGUUGGGUUCUGGUGAGAGCCGUCUUGGUUGCAGACUGCCAUCUUCUUGUAUCCUCACAUGGCCAAAAGAGGGCAAGAGAACUCUCUGGAGUCUGUUUGAUAAGAGCAUGAAUCCCAUUACAUCUUCACAUGGCUCCUCCCAAAGACCCCACCUCCUAAUAUCAUCACAUGUCAUCACAUAGGGGGUUAGAAUUUCAACAUAGAAAUUUUGGGCGAACACAAACAUUCAGUCAGUUGCAAUACUUAAGGCAAAUUCAUCUUGCUUAUAACUCUGGUGCAUGUGCAUUAAAAUACUAUUGCAUUGU
rnacentral:sRNA from 1 species